rnacentral:rRNA from 1 species
CCUACGGGAGGCUGCAGUGAGGAAUAUUGGUCAAUGGACGCAAGUCUGAACCAGCCAUGCCGCGUGCAGGAAGACGGCUCUAUGAGUUGUAAACUGCUUUUGUACGAGGGUAAACGCAGAUACGCGUAUCUGUCUGAAAGUAUCGUACGAAUAAGGAUCGGCUAACUUCGUGCCAGCAGCCGCGGUAAUAAGGAGGAUUCCAGCGUUAUCCGGAUUUAUUGGGUUUAAAGGGUGCGUAGGCGGUCGGUUAAGUUAGAGGUGAAAUCCUGAGGCUCAAAUUCGGAAUUGCCUCUGAUACUGUGCGGCUAGAGAGUAGUUGAGGUAGGCGGAAUGUAUGGUGUAGCGGUGAAAUGCUUAGAGAUCAUACAGAACACCGAUUGCGAAGGCAGCUUACCAAGCUACUUCUGACGUUGAGGCACGAAAGCGUGGGUAGCAAACAGGAUUAGAUACCCGAGUAGUC